GAUGAUUCCCAUGAACUUGUUGCUCCUAUAUAUGACAUGUUAUAUGAUUUAAGAUCCAUGAUAUGUACUAGCAUGCUAUGCCAUUUUAUGCCAUGAUUAAUCACUGUAUCAUAUUUAUUUCAUGCCUUCAACAUGCCAUCAUAUUAACUCUGCUUAUGUAUAUGCCCAGUUUUUAACCAAGUCCUAAUCUAUAACAGAACAUUGCAUUUUGCAUGGAUCAUAGUAAAUUAACCAUGAUGCUUAUGAACCUAAACCUUAAAGGGGAAUUGAAGUAUGUUAUCUCUACUUUAAGGUCAUAUCAAGUUUUUACCCAUAAGGUUCCUGUAGGAAGUUGUUUUGACGCUUGGAAUAUGUCGAGUUACUGUUUUGGGCAGACUGUUAUUCAAACUUGCUUUGUGUGUAUGUGUUGAAUCGUUGCUACGUUGUGCUCAUGUACAAUAUGGAAAUUGCUUAUAAUUGCAUGUAGUUUCAUCAUAUCAUGUUGCAUCCUUGAUUUGAGUGUUUGUGAUUGAUGUUUGCAUGCAUUUUGCAUCAAUGCCAUGUUAAACUUGUUUAGCUCUUCUCUUCUAGAUCGUAGCUCCAAGUUAAAUGAUCUACCUAUGUAAAUUGACUACAAAAAUGUGUAGAUCAUCGUGGUGCACUUUAAAUGGCUGUUUAACCACUUUAACAUUGUGUUUUAAUCAGAUCAGUACAAAAUUCAAAAUUUGCAUCUGGGGAGUUUCCGGAAUUGUCGUGUGCUGUUUCCGGCCUCAUUUAAACUUGCUUUGAUGUGGGAUCUUUCAUGCAUCAUCUCUUGCCAUGAGUAACAACAUUUAUCCUUGUCAUGCAUCAUACUUGCUUGAGCAUCAUGCCAUGUUUAUGCUUGUGUGUUUACUGUGUUGCUUGAUUCUUUCCGGUUGUGCCUCUUCACAAUAGUCCCCGGUUUCGUUGCGAUUGUGAGGAUUCGUUUGACUACGUUGGUUCGUCUACUUCAUGGACUCGAUCUCCUUCCAAGCCGGAUCUCAGGCAAGAUGACCAUUACCUUGGAUAUCACUACUAUCUUUGCUAUGCUAGUUGUCUCGAUGCUAUCACUAUAUAUGUCGCGCUACCUACCACUUGUUUGUCAAGCCUCCCAAAUUGCCAUGAUAAGCCUCUAACUUUUUCCAUCAUCCCAGCAAACCGUUGUUUGUCUAUGUUACCGCUUUGCUCAACCACUCUUAUAGCGUUGCUAGUUGCAGGUGUAGUGCAGGUUGUUCCAUGUUGUGACAUGGGUAUCGUGGGAUAUCACAAUAUCUUUUAUUUAAUUAAUGCAUCUAUAUACUUGGUAAAGGGUGGAAGGCUCAGCCUUUUGCUUGGUGUUUUGUUCCACUCUUGCCGCCCUAGUUUCCUUCAUACCGAUGUUAUGUUCCUUGACGAGCGCUCCUAACACAUGUGAGUGUAUGGGAACCCCCUGACCAAUCGCUUAGGAAAGAACUUCUCCAGCAAGGCCCAACAUUGGUUUUAAAAUUUGCCAACAUAAUAAUACUGAUAACUUGAUUAACGCAUAGGGAGUUAGAGCUACCCGAGGAGUCCUAAUUCAACAUAAUACAAGAGGGCCAGUGUCGAUGGUGUUGGUCCUAAAUGGGCAGCCUGCGGGGUCACCACGGGGAAACUCGAGGACAUGUUUUACUCGUAGCUUGUCCCAUCCGGCCGUGCCCUGAGAACGAGAUACGCGGCUCCUAUCGAGAUUGUUGCCACAUCGGGCGGUCUUGCUGGAUUAGUUUUACCUUUGAUGAGAGGUAGGUUCACCGGGAUUCCUUAUCGAAAGCAUUGUGUUCUUCAUGGUGUGAGGAUGCUCCAUUGGAUGCAUGUGGUAGUUUAUAGUAGAUUAAGUUGGAGCACCCCUGCAGGGUUAAAUCUUUUCGGAAGGCAUGCCUGCGGUUAUGUGGCAACUUGGAAAUUUAUAAUAUCCAGUUGUAGAGACCUAGACACUAAACCCGAAAUAAAAUACACCAACCGCGUGUGUAACCGUGACCGUCUCUUCUCGAAGAAGUUCAGGAAGACAACAUGGUGGGGUUAUGUUUGACUCGUAAGUAGUUCAGGAUCACUUAUUGAUCAUUACUAGUUUGCGACCGUUAUGCGUAGCUACUCUUCUUACUAUUGUACUCAUAAGUUAGCCACCAUACAAUGCUUAGUGCUGCUGCAACCUCACCACUUAUCCAUUCCAUACCCAUUACACUUUGCUAGUCUUGGUACCCAUGGUAAUGGGAUUGCUGAAUCCUCAUGGCACACAGAUUACUACAACAACAGAUGCAGGUACAGGUAAUGUGAUGACAUGACGUGAGAGCAAUGCUUGCUUGUUUUGGAGUUCUUCUUCUGCUUCUUCUUCUUCGAUCGAGGGAUAGGUUCCUGGUCGGCAGCCUGGGAUAGCAGGGUGGAUGUCGUUUGUGUUUUUGUUUGAUUUCAUCCAUAGUCGGAUGUUGCUCUUCUGUAUGAUGUUUGAUGUAUUCAUGUGGCAAUUGUAUCCCUUGUAUGUAUCCCCAACUAUUAUGUACAAAGUACGAUGUAAUGAUAUCCACCUUGCAAAGUGUUUGAAUAUGCAGCUCUAUCCUUGAUGGGACCUUUGAGUUCCUCUCGGAUAGGAUCACAUAUUUGACAUGAUAAGUUGGUAUCAGAGCCUCGACCGACCAUAGGAUCCCCUUUAUUGACCGUAGCAUGGCCGUUGUCGAGUCUAGAAGAAAAAAUAUAUUUUUGGAUCUAGUUAUAUCGGAGAGUAGGAAUUCUUUUUACUCCUUAUCCCCUUCAUUGCUCCGGCGAGGAUUUGUGACGUAGGUGUUUUGAUUCUAGUCCUCUUCCCCUUCAAAUUUUCUUUAGGAUCACGCGGGUAUUUUUCGUUCGUUGCGAUGUAAAUCCUUUUCAACCGGUGCACUUCUCUUCAAGUUAUUCCAUCCUCUUCCUCUUUUGCAAGAUCAAUUAUCAGUUUCUCAAUGGUGUUCGUUUCGCCUGUCCCAAGAUAUUUACUUUUCCCACCCUCCCGCCCUUUUUCUUCAUGGAGUCUGAAGUCUCGAAUCAAGCAUCAAUUUUAUUCAUGCAAGCCUCUUCGUUCUUUCCUCAAUUGUUCCAAGCGGUGAAUUCUUGACCCGUUCAUCAUUGUUUGUCUCGUUUUAUUUUCUGGUGGGUCAAUUCUAGUUUUUCGGUGUGACCAUAUCCCUUUCCUCAUUUCAAAUGCUUUCUCAUGCUGGAGCACCUCUUAAUCAUACACCUCUCCCUAGUCAUAUCCGGAGUGUAGAAGAUAUCUCAGAAGAUUCACGUUUCAUUCUUAAUCCCUUCAAGCUAAUUCAAGGUUGUUAUCUCAUUCAAGUUUCAAUUGUUCUGGUGCAUCAUCUCUCUUCUUCAAUCAUCAACGGUGUUUCUUUUUAGAGCGCCCUAACCCACAUGUUUUUCCCCAGGAUCUUACUUGGCUCUUCUAAUUUUUCCGGAGUUAUUGUCAAAUUCUUUUCAUGUUUGACGUAAGAAUGAAUUUCAUAAGUCAGAUGACUCCUCCAAGAUCGCCUUCAAAUUAUUUUCAUCUUUGGCUCAAUAUUUCUGUUCAAGUUGUUCCGGAUUGUCUCAACAAUUUGGUGGUAUCUCUCGUCAUAAUUCUCAAGGCGAAGAAGAUUUUAUCUUAAAUGUUGCUCCGUAUCUUCAAGAUUCAUGGUUCUAGCUUCAUGCUAUCCUCUAAAAUUGUUCCGUUUGACAGAAAUUCUUUUCUUACCCAUCCAGAGUAUUUCAGGAGUUGUUUUCAUUUCGAUUCUCUUGAGGCCAUUUCAUAUUUUAUUUCUUUCAACUUUCAGCUCUCGUUCUCCAAUUCUUUCCGGUGCCUCGUUCGAGUAUCCUCUAUCAGCUCAUGAUCUCUUCGCUCUAUUAUAUUUAAAUUAUCUCAAGUAUCUUUGUUUGUUUUCCAAUCCUUCCCCGUGAUUAGCCCCUUUCCUCGUUCAUUUUCAGUUCUCAUGAUGGUUUGUUCAAGAUUCCUCUUCCUUUGUUAUCAUAUUAAUUCAUUCAUUCUUUCCAAAGUCCUACCGGUGAUUCGUUGAAAACUUUCUCAAGUUUGCGCUAUAUCAAUCCUUUUCAAUGGGACUAAGUAGUAUGACAAAUCCGUUGCUUGUCAUCAAUUUAAAUUGAUGAAGGAUACGCAUAACAUAAUUCUUAUUCUUGUUUCAUACAAGUGAUUAAUUCCUUCUUCCAGAGUAUGUUCAUGAUGAAUAAAUUCUCAGGUCGAAGUGAUCCAUCUUUCUUUACCGGAGUUCCAACCUAUCUCAGUUAUCUUGUCACGAACCUCCAUCUAAAUCAUUGCAAGUCUUCAACUCUUGUUCUUUUCAACUUUCAAUUAUUUUCUAUAAUCCUUUAACUACCUGAGCUCUUCAAGAGUUCUUCAUGGUGGUUCGUUAAGGAUUUAAUUCAUUUUUGAAGUGUUCAUCAACAUUCUUGUUGGAGGAGCUCAACUAUUCUUGUUCUUGCGUUUCGAAGUGCAAUCCCUUCUCCCUUAUCAUUUGAGUUGGUAGUAUACCAUUCUUGACAAACAAGGAGUCCCGAAGUGAAGUUGUCAAGAUUGAGAUAUUUUAAAUCCAUCAUUUUCUAUUCGUUCACGAGAUCGUUUCAACCUAUCAAUCUCUUCAUUGGAUUUAUCUUGGUAAAGAUUGCACCUAAAGCCUUUCCUAAGGAAUGUUGCUAAUUAUGGUGCCUAUCGAUAAAACAAGUUUUCUCGUAUUCUCUCGAUCAAAGAAGAUUCUCAUCUCUUGUUGCUCUGAAUCAAGUCUUUUGUUUUUGUUAGUGGCCAGUUGUCACCUCAUAAUUUUGAGAUGUUUUACAUAAGCCCACAACAAGCUUAUUCUUUUCGUUGUUCAUUUUCCAACAACUCCAUUCAAUCCUUUGUUCUACGAAUGCUUUUCAAGUUCAAUUGUGGUAGAAGCUUCUCAUUCUAUUCUUUGUUCAUUUCUUUCCAAUGAUCUGGAUUCUAUUACUUCGUUCCGGAGGUGUUGUGAUGUCGCUCUCUUCAACCCAUCAUCUCAUUUGGUCAAAGAUCAUGUUCUUUUAUUGCUUAUCCAUUUAACUGGAGUGUUAUGUUCUCUUUCAAGUUCUUUUAUGUUAUCAAGUCUUGCGCCUCUUUUCAGUCGGAGUGCCGCUCGAAUUCUUUCAUUCUCAUUCCUUGUCUAUCUCAUUUUAACUGGUGUGGUUUCAUAUUCAUUUAGUCCAUUAAGCUCUUGUUUCGUGUCUUUCAACCUACAAAGUUCCCGUAAAGUUCCUUGUACCUCUUUUCCAAGGGAGUGUUUUCAACUUGGUUCAUCUCCGUUGUGUCAUUUCUUUCAAGUUUUUCAAUCUCUCAAGGUUCUUUUGUUUCACUCGUUUGUCGAGGAAGCAACUUUGUUUACCUCUUCAUCUUCCUACUCCCUUCCUCUUCUCAUUCCUCGAUCACGGGACGAGAUCUUCUGUUAGUGAUGGAGUGUUGUGACGCCCCGAGACCGAUGCUCCAGUUGCCUUUCAUUUAUUCUGUUGACCUUGUGUGUUUCAAUUGGUUGUUGCAUUCAUCAUCAUAUCAUUCGGGUUGCAUCGGCACUCAUGUCUCAUUCUUGUCAAACUUGCAUCCGUCCGUAGUUACCGGGUCUCCCAGUUCUCUCUGUUGUCCGUUCUGAGUCCAACAACACUCGCACGCGCCCGCGACACCUUCAAAAUAUUAUUUUAUAAGUGGGAUAAAAAUUUUCUCGGAAUGGGGUGAAAGUUGGCGUGCGGUCUUGUUAUAUUGUAGAUAGGUAGACCGCCUGCCAAAUUUCAUCGCAUUCAGAGCCCGUUUGAUGCCCUCGGAAACUCGUGCCGGGCCGCAUUUCAUCUCUCUCUUCACAGCCCACACCUCCUACACAUCCCACCUAGCCCAACCGAACACCCCUCUCGACCAGUACCAUCCGAUCUAGAUCGAAGGGCUCCGAACCCCUCCUAACCCAUCAAAAACCCUAGCCCCUGCUAUAUAUGGACACCUCCCUCUUCCAAAUCUAGCAGCCUACCCGCUCCACUUACCUCUAGCCUUCCCCUCGGAUCAGCCGCCACCCCCACCUCCAUUUUUGUGUUGAUCCAACACCCCACCGCAACAUGGCGCCGUCCAAGCAGGCGAGCGGCCACCAGUCGCCGCCUCCAGCGAGUGGCGCGAUGCCACGUCGCCCCCAGACGGCCUCCCCGCGCCACAGCCCGCUGAGCCCAUAGCGGGCCUGCACGAGCCCGACCGCGCCCGCCGCUGCAGCUCCAGCGCCCGACCACCUUCCUCAAUCCUGAUCUGGAUCGCGAGAGGAUCCUGAGCUCUCUGUCUCGCCACGCCGCCGCCGACUCUUGCCGCCUCAACCUCGCCGCCGCACCCGUUCGGCGAUAGGAACCACCGCCGGCGACCACCAAGGCCGGACCCCAUCGCCCGUGCUCCUCCUUCCCCUACCCAUAUUCUUCUCCCUCUCUCCCUCACCCUCUCUCUCCCAUAGGUACACCGCCAUGGGCGGCCGAACCACAAGCUCGCCGAUCUCGACGCCGACGCUGGGAACGGAGAGGCGGCCACCAGAUCCGGCGCCCGUCCCCCGCCUUCUCCUGCAUCCACGCCCCUGGGAUCCCGCCUUGCCAAGCCGCCGCCAUGGUCCUGCUCGAGAUCUAGCAGAACUGCUCGUCCCGCACGCACGCACAGCCGUGGGCCACGCCAUGCCCAAGGCGCAGUAGUGCCAAGGUCGGCCCAGCUCUGCCUCCCCCCUCGACCAUAUUGCUUUGAUGAUUCCCAUGAACUUCUUGCUCCUAUGUAUAUGACAUGUUAUAUGAUUUGAGAUCCAUGAUAUGUACCAGCAUGCUAUGCCAUUUGAUGCCAUGUUUAAGCAUAGUAGCAUAUUUGUUUCAUGCCUUAAACAUGCCAUCAUAUUAACUCUGCUCAUGUAUAUGCCCAGUUUUUAACCAAGUCCUAAUCUAUAAUAGAACAUUGCAUUUUGCAUGGAUCAUAGUAAAUUAACCAUGAUGCUUAUGAACCUGAACCAUAAAGGGGAAUUGAAGUAUUUUAUCUCUACUUUAAGUUCAUAUCAAGUUUGUGCCCAUAAGGUUCCUGUAGCAUGUUGUUUUGAUGCUUGGAAUAUGCCUAGUUACUGUUUUGGGCAGACUGUUAUUCAAAUUUGCUUUGUGUGUAUGUCUUGAAUCGUUGCUUUGUUGUGCUCAUGUACUAUAUGGAAAUUACUUAUAAUUGCAUGUUGUUUCAUCAUGUCAUGUUGCAUCCUUGAUUUGAGAGUUUGUGAUUGAUGUUUGCAUGCAUUUUGCAUCAAUGUCAUGUUAAACUUGUUUAGCUCUUAUCUUCUAGACCGUAGCUCCAAGUUAAAUGAUCUUCCUAUGUAAAUUGACUAAAGAACUUGUAGAUAAUCGCGGUGCACUUUAAAUGGUUGUCUAACCACUUUAAAAUUGUGUUUUAAUGAGAUCAGUAGAAAAUUCGAAAUUUGCAUAUGGGGAGUUUCCAGAAUUGUCAUGUGUUGUUUCCGGCCUCAUUUAAACUUGCUUUGAUGUGGGGUUCUUUCAUGCAUCAUCUCUUUCCAUGAGUAACAAUAUUUAACCUUGUCAGGCAUCAUGCCAUGUUUAUGCUUGUUUGUUUACUAUGUUGCUUGGUUCUUUCUGGUUGUGCCGCUUCUCACUACUGCAGGAUGCUUCUAACGCGACACUACAAUCAGAGACCCUUCGAUGAAACUAUGUGCGAUGCCAUAACCGCAAACGGUGAUGUAAAAAAUCAUAAAAAAGAAUGCAAAACAUUUGCGAUGGUGGAUACAUCAAACAUGUCUCAGAAGUUAGAUGCAUGUGCGAUGCGGGGCAUACGGUUCAAUUCAAUGAACUAUUUGCGAUGAGGCAGAAGAACAGAAACGGGCAGCCAGAUGAAGGUGUGUGCGCUAUAUGGCAUACGGUUCAUAUUGUGGAUCUAAGACUGACAGUAGAAUGGGGGUUAGGUAUGAGGAGGCAAGAUCCUAGCUAUGGCGAAGUUGUACACACGAGUUUUACGAGUUUAGGCCCUUCGCGGAGGAAAUAAUAGCCCUACGUCUCGGUGCCCGGAGGCGGUCGACUGGAUUAUGCGUGUGUGUGUUACAGGGGGUGCGAACCCUUGUGCCUGUGGAGGGGGGUGGCUUAUAUAGAGUGCGCCAGGACCCCAGCCAGCCCACGUUACAAAGAGUUCAAUGUACAUAAAGAGGAAGCAUUACAGGUAACGUCCACAAUAAAGUGAUAUAAAUGAUCAUUAAGUCUAUGAGUAAACGCCCGACCGUUG
rnacentral:lncRNA from 1 species